GUAAUUAUUGGCCCUACGGAAAAGAAUGAUUUAUUUACAGUGGCUCAUGUGCAAUUUCUUUACUAUCAAUGCAAAAAAAAAUCACCACUUAAUAACUACCACUGCGACAUUCAUUGAAGAUAAUGCACACAUGGUGGUAAACAGACUGAUUUUGUAUUCUUCGGGGUUUUUCCCCCUGAAUAAGAGAAAUUUUUCCCUUCCCUAGAUUCUUAAAUGUAUAUGCUGAUAGGAUUUAGAUUAUCUCCUAAUUGCGUUCUUUUGUUUAUUUGAUAGAUUGUAUUCCUCAACAAUUGAAGGUUACGAAGCUAGAAUAGAAACUCCCAGGGGGUUGAUACAUGUACAUUUGCUUGUGAAAGUUAAAAAUAACAUAUUGAAUAGUUGUGCCUUAUAAUUUUCUUUGCCUUUCUACUCUUGAAUGAUGAGUUGUACUGGGGCAAUUUCUUUUCUAGCCCGUUCUUCCUUUUUUUUCCCGGCUCUCUUAGCUCUUCAAAGAGCCUAUUACUUUGGUUAUUAUCAUAGUAUGGUUAGGUUACACAAUUUGUUUCACCAAUUUAAUGGGUAGAUUUUACAAACUUACUUUUCUUCUUUGCAUUUUAAUCUUGAUAACACCUCAUUAAUGUUUCAAAAACUAGAAAAUCAAUUUUUUAGCAAAUGUUUUUACAUUUUGAGCAUUAUCAUUUAAUUACAUGGCUUUGUUCUAGAAGUGUUUGUGUGAGCAAGUUGGGUAAAGCAGAGCUGACGAUUGAACGAUGUGGUUCAUUGCCUAUAAUAGCAGUCUAUUCUGCCCAUAGUAAUUGUAAGACAAAACAGCCAAGUUUGAUCUAAUAAUUGUCAGUUUAUACUUUUAUGGGUUUUUUUAAUAUUAUUGACAAUAUCUUACUUGAGCUUUUAUUUCGUAUGUGAAUUUACCAAAUCAGAUCUUUAAAACCCUUUUUUCUAUGGUUAGUCAUUAUUGGUGAAGUCAUUUUUUCAGUGUAUGUAAUAUAUGGUUCUUGGUAUCUCAACGUUAUAGUAUACAAAUGUGAAAACAUUUUGAAAAAAUGGAAGGAAUAUCUACUGAAAGGAGAAAAAAUUUUAACUUUUCAGGUUGUGAAUUUUUUUUGAUUUAUUUCCAUGUCAUUUUUCCAAUUUUACACUAGAUUGGACCUUCAAGUUUCUGCUUCCUUUUCAUUUCUGAAGUUUUUAAUUUCUUGCUUGCUUCUUUAGUUUUGCUGCUCCUCAUAAUCUUAGAUUGCUGCCUAUUUGAUAGAUUGAGGAAAAUCACAAGGAAAUACUAAAGGGAGGAGAAAAAGAGUAGCUUUUCAGCAUGGGACUACUCCAAAUGAUAGUUGUGAGAUUGACUUGCAUGAUGUGAAGGAUUUUACCAGUCAUCUAUGCCCCUUACUAUUGCACGAUAUGAGAGUUAAAGCAAAGGAGCUGGGGCUGUUAGCUGAGUCAUAUUUGGAGGGAAUGCAAUCAAUAUACAAAUUGAUUGGCCAAGUGCAGCAUUUAUGGUCCAUUGGGUUUACAAGUUCUUGAUGGCAUCCCUGCAGAGAUGCGAGAUUUGUUGGAAGCGUAUGUGUUAGCAGUUGCUUAUUCUCAUUUUGUUUCUAUUUAAGAGAUUAUGACCUCUUCCAAUGUACCCAAAAAAGAAAAAGAAAAAGAAAAAAUGAGGUUUCUUUAUGAUGUAUAUCCUUGAUAUUUUUUGGAGGA